rnacentral:rRNA from 1 species
UCAGGCCUAACACAUGCAAGUCGAGGGGUAGAACAUUUCGGUGUUUGAGACCGGCGCACGGGUGCGUAACGCGUAUGCAACCUACCUUUUACAGGGGAAUAGCCCAGAGAAAUUUGGAUUAAUGCCCCAUGGUAUAUUUAGAUGGCAUCAUCUGAUUAUUAAAGUUCCAACGGUAAAAGAUGGGCAUGCGUCCUAUUAGCUAGAUGGUAAGGUAACGGCUUACCAUGGCAACGAUAGGUAGGGGUCCUGAGAGGGAGAUCCCCCACACUGGUACUGAGACACGGACCAGACUCCUACGGGAGGCAGCAGUGAGGAAUAUUGGACAAUGGGCGCAAGCCUGAUCCAGCCAUGCCGCGUGCAGGAAGAAGCAUCUAUGGUGUGAAAGUGCUUUGUACGGGAAGAAACACUCCUACGGUAGGAGCUG